UACAGAGGUCCCAAGCGUUGUUCGGAUUCAUUGGGCGUAAAGGGCGCGUAGGUGGCGGGACAAGCGUGCGGUGAAAGCUCGGGGCUCAACCCCGGGUCGGCCGUGCGAACUACUGGGCUGGAGCACUGUAGAGGCAGGCGGAAUUCCGGGUGUAGCGGUGGAAUGCGUAGAGAUCCGGAAGAACACCGGUGGCGAAGGCGGCCUGCUGGGCUAUGGCUGACACUGAGGCGCGACAGCGUGGGGAGCGAACAGG
rnacentral:rRNA from 1 species